GGCAGGCAACAACUGCAGAAGCACUGUUCCAUCCCUCCACUUGCUCCUUCAAAUAGAUUGCUUGCUGGUAGACAAAGCCCACUGGCCUGAGAACUACUGCCUGCCCCUUUCUAAGCAGUUAGACACAAUUCUGAACAGAUACGCAUUUGCAGUUUUCACACUUAGUGGUGAACUUGUUUUUCUUCUCCUCAAACUGGUAAUAUCAAUAUGGAGAGCACAUCAACCACCCCUUCUGAAAAGCCUUAGCCUGACUUUUGUCAAAAGCUGAGAGGGGAUACCCCAUCUGGUUGAAGCAGCUGUUUGUGAACACAAGAACAAAGCGUGACCUGAAUACAUAAGUAACUGUUGAGUCACUAAAUCGGCACUGUGACUGCUACAAGUUCUCAUAUAUAGAAGAACUUCACAAGAAAUGAGUAAUGUCUCUGGAAGACUCUGGAAGUUCAGCGGUCAGCAGAUAACUUUGGGUACUACCAGCCUGAAGUGGAUAGCUGCUAACCUGUCCUCUGUCAUCCUCAAGCACCUUGCUUUUACCCAAGAGGUAAAUAUAUUGUAUGCAGUUGUGUAUGAAUGUCACAAGAACCCAUUCCAUUUUUAGGGUUAUUUCCAUUUUGUUGCAUCUAAAAAAAGUUCAAGAAAUUAUUUAUUUGGAAACAAGGUAUUCAGGUCGGGCAAUCGUGCAAACACUGCUUUAAGAACAUGUUUUUGGCUGCAGACUCUUCUCUCUGCAUUUAUCUAUGUUACUAUAAUGUCUUCCUGCACUCUGCAUCAUCGAAGAUGCACUUUAUUGCAUGGGAGCCUUCCACUUACACGUUCAUCUAUCACCUCUUGCAAACACACAGUAUAUUUAAAAAUCGAGCACUCCUUUUCUGGAAUGUGUAAUUGAGUCUUUGCUGCAAGCCUGUUUGCUGCAAGCCUGAGAAUGGCUUGCAAGCUCAAAAAUAUACUGACUAUAUGAAAUUGCAGCACUCCGAACACUGUAUAUCUUACUCCCUUCCCAACUUACCUUCACAAAGGCAUUAUUUGUGGCACCAGAAUUCUCAUUUCUAGUAAGUCGGUUAAACAGUGGAAUUCUUCCAGAUACCACAGUUCUUCAGUAAGAUAUGUCUUACUAGUUAUCUAGGCUGUCUGUGAUCCUCAGUGGCCCUGCAGCCUUCAUCUGUCACUGCCAGCAUCACAGCAACCCGUCUGGUCUUAUCUUGAGAUUUCUCUUACUGUGAGCAUAUUCAUCCAUUAUUAGCCAGUGAUAAGCAAUUGCUUUUUGGCAUAACAAUAUUUCUGUAUUCCCCAGAAAAAUGAAAGAAAUAAGACUUUUUUUUUUUUUAAACCCAAGCUUCAGCUGAAAUUCUAAGCUGGUUUGCCCGACCUCUUUGUGGGUUAUUAACUGUCUUGUUGUAGCUAUUAAAAGCAGUCAGUGCUGCAAUACCAGUACAAGGUAUCGAUAUUAUCUUGCAUACCCUUGGUAUGCAAGGGGACUCGAGUCCCCUUGUUUGUGUUCUGGCCUGGCCAGGGGUGAACCUGCACCAGCCUGGAGCCACCUAAUGCUGGCAUCAGGGCCCUGUGCGAACAAGGAAGGGCCUACGAAACCACGUUCUUCAACACAGCAUGUAUCAGAUAUGAGAAGUUAUGGUAAUUAAAUCCUUGAUACGGAAGAACAUACAACCCAAAUGAUUUUACGUAUCAGAAAUGUGGUGCUAACGUUGCUCUUUAUAAAAGAAACAUCAAGAAAAAGGUCACUGAAGUGAUAAAGAUGUUGGGUUUUGUGAAAAGAGUAAAAACAAAUAAAAGAUGAACUUUAAAGAUACUUCUGUAGAGGGAAAGGGGAAAAGAGCGAAGCCCACUUCACUGCUAAUACUGAGCGUGCAUUGCUCAAAACGGACAUCACACGCAGGGUGAGAAAACUAAAGCCUGAGUCAGGGCAAAGAUAAGGUAGUUGAUUCAGUGACCUCAGAAGACAAAUCUGCUUCCCUCCUUUGUUUCAAAAUUGACAGCUAUUUUAACUUCACUUAUACAAACAGAGGACUUCUGACUAAGCAGUGAGGUCUGUGAUGACCUCCAUCUGCAUUAUAAAGCUUUCAGAUUUGCUUUUCCUGUCUGCUUUAAACUCAAAACUUAACAACAAACAAGAAAACAAAAACCUUCCAGUUCUAAACUUAAAUCAGUCUAUGCUUGUAAAUUCUGUGGAAGGUGGCUGGAGCUGCAAUAGUUUUGCAGUCAUUCGUUGAAAGAAGUUAUUUUUAUAACAAUGUACACUACAACAUCGAGUUGAGGAUAACACUGGACAGCACCAUCCAACUUCGAUGACCCACUGUCUUGCUAUAGGAUAAAGCAUAAACAGGGUUGUCUUGCUGGUAACCUCAUUUCAUACACAAUAAGGUAUCAUUCCUCUUGCAUGCAAGUAAGGCCUUGAGCUGUAACCUCACUGACCAGACAGCAGUGGAAGAGUCCCUCCAACUCCUUGCACAGGUUCCAGUUGUCUUUUCUCUAUCAUUCACAGCUAUUACAGCGAAAAAAAGGUUGGUUUCAUGACUAUACAGGAAAUAAUGCAGAUGAUCUGUUUUUAAGACUAAUGUGAGACACUGCAAGAAAGGGAUAUGAAGUACCAACAAAUUCCCCCCAAACAUAUUUCUGGAAGUUUAUCCAAUCAUUGUCAUCCAAGAGGACAGUCAGUCCCUUAAGCAGCAAAAGCUCCAUCGUAAUAACUUCUGCUGUUUAGAAAUAAUAGCUAUUGUAAAUAAAAAAUAAAAUCUGUAUCUGUUGUCAGAUAAAAAGUUGCUAAUGUGCUCUCUGUUGUCUUUGCAUGCCAUGCUUUAUUUCAGUAUAAUACCACAGCAUUCCCUGGCAACUGUCUCCAUGGUGGCUGUACAAGGCGCCAUGGUGGAUUUGCACAAGCUCCCAUCCAGCUCCUUCCCAAGCAGGAAGACAAAUAUUGUAGAAGACAACCUUGCACAAGAUAAGAUGGAAGAAGAUGGAGAGUACUAAGGCCGACCCUGCUUCAAGAGGAACAAACAUGAAAUGAAAUGAAAAGAAAUGCUUUGUCUGCAUGAGAAGACUGUGCAGUGUAAGAGGGAAAAAAUUACCACGUAUAAAGGCAACCCGUAAUAAAACAAGGAUCACAACUUUUCAGAUAGGAGUGCCUUUAAAGAUAUGAUAUCCAUUAGACAUGGACCUGAAUGUAUUUUUGGGGGGUCUAUUUUAAUUAACUCUCUUCAUCUUGAAGGUUCUGUAAGUAAUUGGCAAAGUAAUUAGUGCAGUGACUUCACCAGGAAAAGAAGUAGCCCUGUGUGCCCAUGGCAAUUCUUGCAAGGCCCUGCUGUUAGCAUGCGUUCCUCAGAAGGAUCCCAUCACAUUGCCCUGAGUUGCUGUGGGACUGGCCAGAAAGUCAUGACUGUUAAGAAAAAUUUGAACACGUACAUAUUGGCACAUGCUACAUACUUCAGUUGUCCUAUUUUAGCCAAGAGGAGAUUUGAUGAUUUGAAAUGGUCUGUUCUGCAUAAUAAUAUUUUCUGUUGUGAAAGGGGGCUUGUUAGUUAGAAGUGCAAUGGCUUCUCAGGAGAUGGGUACCAGUACUGUAUCACAGAUCUGCAACACACUAGAUGCAAAUAUGCUUGGCAGCAGACCCAGAAAAAGCUGGAAGAGAAAUGUAAUGCUGUAACCAGUUGCAGCUGGUUUGGUUAAGACUGCAUUAAACGAACCAGAAGUUUCGAACCCCUCUUCUCCAGGGCUGUGGUGCAAGCUGGUUUUCAAGGUAGCUGUGUGCACAGCAAAAGAAGGCUGCACCCAGGCAGAUGAUCAUGGGAAUCUGAAGGCAGGAUGCUAUAGAUAAAAGCAUGCUAGAGCCAGAACCGCUGUCACACAGUUUAGCAGUGAAUUAUAUUGAACAAAUUAACUAAAAUCUGUCUCUCUUUGGAGAGCUAUGCCAAGCACUACCCACUUCUGCAGCAGCUCGAUUAUCUCACUUUCCUAGAAUCACCUUCUACAACUUGUCAGUUAUCUGUCUCUUGCUAUCACACUUCAGAGAGCAGCCACAGUGCUGACAAUCCUUAGCCUUCUACAGUGUGCAAAGACAGAGACCAUACACCGAGUAACAUGUACCCAAGCGACACACUUCUGAUUGUGAAGAAUCGAAGUAAAAUGCAGACUGGUGAUCAGGCACUUCAAUUAGUUAUUCAAAUCAAUCUGCCACUCUGUCACAAGUGUGUUACUACCAUCUAUGACACCGCCACAAAGUCUGGAUUUGUCAGAGGGAUCUCUCCAGUAUCUCCACGUACCUGCAUAAUUCAUACACAUACACAAAAAAGAGUACCUCGUUGAAUUUCACCCUAGAUGGGUAUCAGAAAAGAAAUGAAAUUAAAUGGUUGCUUUUCAAGACCAAGAGAACUAUAUUUUUCAAGGGUUACUGAGUACCUAACACUGUGUUCUGCAGGCAACGAUGACCGCAGCGCAGCAUCUACCUCUAGCAUCACUUUCAGCAAGAGCAUUUCACAAUAAUACUGAGAUGGAAAUGAGUAACAGGACCAAGUGCCUGGUGGAGAAAGCCCUGCACAGUGAAUUAAGUGCCACUCUACAUUAUUCCACCCUGUCAGGAAGCCAACAAGGGUCAGGCACUCUCAUCAUCACGAAACUGAAGGGGUUGCCAAAUAUCCUGGAUAAGCAGAGCUCAUAACUCAGACCAAAACUGAAACCAAAUGAAAUGAUCAUAAGCAUCAAUAAUGGAAUAAAGCAGGGGAAAAAAAAACCUCUAUAUAAGUCAAUUCAUGUAGAAAUACCCUUCCUCUGCAACUAUACUGGCAAUAAAAAUUGCUGUUCCAUCACAGGACCAGAAAAUGCUACCAGGAUCUUGAAAUAAUUGAACUAUAAAGGAAGUCUGAAGUGUACUGCUAUGAUUAAGGGAUAGGAGCAUGACAUACAAGGAGAGCCUGACACAGCCAGGAUCGUUCAGCCCAGAGGGAACAGCUUGGUGGAAUCUUUUCAAUGUGUAUAUAUACCUGAUGGGGGGAACAGAGAAGACAAAGCCUGGCUCUUCUUAGAGGUGCCCAGUGGAGAACAGGCAGAGGUACAAAUUCGAACAUGGGAAAUCCCACUUAAAAAUUAAAAAACACACAUUUUUUACUGUGCCACAGUGUUCAUGUACUGGCACAGGCUGCUCCACAGGCAGCUUGUGGAGUCUCCGUCCCUGGAGAAAUUCAAAAACUGCUCAUACAAAGAAUCACAGAAUCCUGAGAGGGAAGGGACCCACAAGGAUCAUCAAAUCCAACUCCUGGUUCCACACAGGACCACUAAAAUUCAAACCCUAUGUCUGAGAGCAUUGUCCCAAUGCCCCUUGAACGCUGGCAGCACGGGGCUGUGACCACUACCGUGGGGAGCCUGUUUGAGUGCCCAACCACCCUCUCAGUGAAGAAUCUUUUCCUAAUCCCCACCCUGACUGCACUCUGACGUAGCUGCAUGCCAUUCCCUUGCAUCCUGUUGCUGCCACCAGAGAAGAACUCGGCGCUGCCCCUCUGCUCUCUGUGAGGCGCUGUAGGCUGCCAUGAGGCCUCCCCUCAGCCUCCGCUCUGGGCUGAGCAAACCAAGGAACCUCAGCCACUCCUCAUACAGCUUGCCCUUCAGACCCUUCAGUGCACCCUUUGGAUACUCUCUAAUAGCUCUAUGUCCUUCUUAUAUUGCCGUGCCCAAAACUGCAUGCAGUGCUUGAGGUGAGGCCGCACUAGUGGAAAGCAGAUGAAGGCACGGUCCUUAACGGCCCGCUGACUGCCCUGAGCAGCAGAGUUGAAUUAGAUAAUCACCAGAGGUCUCUUCUUACCACAACCACUCUGUGUUUCCCCUCAAAAAUAAUAGUCCAGAGGUUCUACUGUUGUGAAUGUGCAAGAAAACUGAUAGCUUGUAAUUGUACUCUUAACUCCUAGCUUUCCUUUAAACAUUCUGGCAUUUAGGACUGUGAAAAAAGCCUUCAUAAAGUGAACAGAGGAUUAUCCAUAAUGUGAAGUUAGAGGCUUUUCGGCAGAUGUAAGCAAACAACUGUAAGAAGGUGUGAAUUGUUCUAAUUAACUCCACAGGCACAUAGCUGGAAAGCUACACAGUGGCAAUUUAAAUGCCAGCAUUUCAUUGUCAAGCGCUUCAACAGAAAUCCUUCGGGCCUGUACAUUUCACAGUCCCCUAAGGGCUAGCACAUUUUCCAGGGUGACAGCAGUGCCACAGAAAUCAAAACCUUGAGGUCUCCUUUCUACAGUGCAGGUACGGUGGUCUCCAGAACAACACAAGUUAAGUUAAAAAUAGAAAGUCUGGCAGCAGACUAAGCAGGAAAACAGUCAUUGGCAACUUAAGGAGAAAUGGAAACUAUAGCCAGGUUCACUCUAACUUCAAGUCCUAUUUAUUAAAAUCCUGACUGUCUUAACUAACCUAGAGGUUACCCAAAAUUCAGACCUAGUUGCAAUAAAUGGAUGCAGAAGUUCAGUUUGCUGCAGAGCAGAGGAGGCCACAGUCACAGCACAAAUACAUGAAUGGGCACAUUUAGUAGGUUGGACAGCCACAUAUGCAAGAUCACAACAUCUAGAUUACAACAUAAACCUUAAAGCGUGCUAAAGAAGGGAUUAGGCAUGAAGAAACAUGCAAACUAUUUCAUUCUAAAGAAUGCAAUACCUAUGCAACGUAACAAGCUUAAUUAUUUGUCACAUUCAAAUUAAAACUCUAAACAUUCAAGAGGCAUUUUCAACUGCAGUCACAGAAGACAGUAAAAAAUAAGUGUAGUCAGAGCCAUGUCAAGGUAAGUUAAAUGGCAAGGUUUCACAUAGCUGGAAGAUAUGGACUUGCCUUCACCCUGCUCAGAUCCCAACAUUCCCACAAGCUACUAGAGAAAGAAGAGAUUAGCCUACUAGAUCCCCUGAUCCAGCUUACAAGGUGGCCACAUAAAUGUUGGUACCACUGUGUUGGAGAGUGUGCAAAGAUGUGGCCCAGGGAGCAGGCAUAUUUGCUCCUUUUAGUUUCUUAAAUUUAGUAUGGAACUGCUGCUUCAAAGAAAUAGGAGGGUGUGAGCAUGAAGGGAACAGGAAAAAACAUUCUGUAGUUGUAAACGUAUGUGAAUCUUUGUUACACAUAUUACUAUUAUUCCACUAACUGCAUUAUCAGUAAAAAUACAACUGACAAAACUGUUACACUGUUCCCAAUUAUUAUUAUUAUUUUUACUGAUCUAUGCAACUGAUUUAAUAUUAGCUUACCAGCAUUUCUGAGGAGGAAGCAUGGGCUGUCUAUCAUCUUACAGCUCUGGCACCAGUGGAUGGAAUUCAGAGAGUCAGUGCUAUUCAUGGACCACAAGACCCAAAAACCCACACCUUCCAGUUCCAUAAGUCUAUUUAACUCACAUGAGAUUCAUUUACCACAAGUAAAAUUACCAUUUCGAAAGUCAUAGUACAUUUCCACAAAACAAUGGAAUGAAUAAAAAAAUACUGUCUGAGACCGGUAAGGAGUGUGUCAAAUCAACAUGUGAUCAGCAUCACUUUGUGGACAGUUUUACAUUUGAAAGCAUUUUUUUGGAGUUGUUUGCCUUUGAAAGAGAGGGCCCAGGAGUGUUUAUUGGUUGAAGACUUGGCCUCGGAGCAAAUGAAAGUAGCUUGAUACAGGAGACUGGGAGAUGAUGCAGAUUGUAUCCUGUGAAGGCAAGAUACAAGCUGGCCUCUCCCUGUUUCCUCUUAUCUAUUGACUUAAAUUUGCACAGCUUGGAAGACAGGAACAAAGGAGUUCCUACUGAGAUCCCAAAGCCAGAAGCUGUCACUCCAAAAGAGCAGGCUCGAUCGCUUUGAUCUAUAAGUAAGAGUUAGUAUUGUCAUUUUGAGUAGUCAUCAACUGAACAACAGCCAGCAACCCAUCACUACUGAAGAUCAGCACCUAACACCAAGACAUCGCUGGAUCGUGGAGUGGUGAACCGCUUUGCUUUGCUGUGUCUACACCUGUCUGCCUCUCUUUCCCCAUCUUCCAUCAUUUCUCUUUAUCUUCUUCUAUUCUUUUACUCUUUGUAGUAACUGUGGCCUAAUAUUGUCUUACCUGUAAUGCUUACUAAUCAUAAUUAGCAAAUUAGCCAAUUUUACCUCCAAGUAGAGUUAAGUUGUUGUUAAGAAAGCUGUCAGUAAAUUGAUGUGUAUUAUUCCAGUGAGUCUUGGAUGACUCCAUCGCAGUAGUGAUCCCUGCUGACCAGGGGAGGUGCGACUGGGAGACAGAAGAAGAUUCACCACCCUUGAACCCUACUGUGUAGGACUAGACAAUUACCUAUAGAUUCAACUGUUUCACAUUGGCAAUGUAAGUGAAGGACAGUAGAAGUCUCUUGGUGAAACAGAGAAAAUACGAAAUAUUCUUACACUACAUGCAGAUUUGCGGGGAGAAAAAGAUACUCCCCAAACCCAUGGUUGGAGUCUUGGACAAUAUUAAUGAAUCACUGGAAAAGGAAUCGUGAAUGUCACCCAUCUGGAUUUCAUGAAGGCAGGUUUGAUUUACAGAAUGAGUCAGUGAGAUAGUGGAAAACUAUUAAAACACAUUAAAGAUUGGCUAAGGGUCAGGAACACCAGCAUAAGAUCAAGUCUUUAAUUUAUCUAGAGAUCUGGACUGAACUACAUUGUCUGGCUUAUAACCGAUCUGUUUUCUGUCAAAAGGAACCAGUCAUAUAAAACAAGAGAUAAAAAUGCCCUUUUAAAGUAACUGUUAGAAAGUCUUCAUUCCUUCUCCCUCCAUUUUGCUGAGCCAAAAAAGGUCUUUUUUUCUCUUCCUAAGAGGAAAGGCUGAAGCUACUGAAUUGUUUUGAAUGUGUCUUUGCAUGGGUUGCAGCUUUGAUACUACUGUAAUUUUUGGGCAAACUGUGUUUGACAUGGGCAAUAUUUCUAUAUUUACUUUAAUUGUUGAACAAAAGUGAACUCAUAUGGAUAGCGAUAGCAAUCCAGAAAAGUCUACACAUCUGCAACUAACUCUGUAUGCUUAUUAAGGUACAAAACACUUCAGAAAGGAAGGAGAGUAGUUCCCUAAAUCUAUCCAAUACUUUUGAACAAUGUACUAAAGAAAUUGCUGUAUUCCCUUCUCAAAUUAUUAACAAUUCACCACAGAUUAUCAGGGAGUUAUCAUUACUUCUGCUGGACCAUUGAGUCCCUCCUGACAGCUGUGGGAAAUUUCUUUUCCUUGGUUACCAGACUUAAAAGCUGCUUCAUGCUAACUACUUAUCCUGCCUGCGAUACUGCUGCUGAUCAGGAUUACUUCACCUUUAUCCCAGGCCUUUAUUUCCUCCCGUAAGUGCCCCAAUCUGUGCACUGCUUUCACACAUCUUUUAAUAGGUCUUCCCUAGUUAUUUCAUACCCCUUGGGGACCCUAUAUACUCAAUGCCCUACAAAGAGUGCUCUUCCCCUUAAAUUCCUGAUCUUGCAAUUUCCUAAUAAACUGGCUAUAAAGAGAAGUGGAUUGCACUAAGAAGGAAAGCACUAGGCUGAAGGGCUGCUACUGCUUGGUCUGAUGGACUGAACUGCGGCCCAACCAUACUUAAAAAUCCUCUUUAGUAUCUUCAACAUGCAAAACCAGCAUUGCAUUAACAAAAGGCAGAAACACGCAGAAAUUUCAGAGUAUUAAAUAAUUUUGACAGCUACAAUAAAAAGCGAACAAUGCAAAAUAAAAGGUCAUAUGCCUAUAUAGCAGCAACAAGAACUGCUCCUACAAGCUGCAGAAUCAUGAGCUGAAAAUACAAGGGAAAAGAAAACCUUGUUAGUACUUGAUUAGUAAAUUGCAAGUCAUCAGUGUGUUGGAGUUAAAAAUGGUGAUUAAUUGAGAGAGGUAUUUCCAAUAUACAUAAAGAUGAUUUCAUGCCACGGAAGAAAGUAAUUUCUAAGACUUUCUACAAAAUAGCAUAUUUAGUUUUGACUACACAUAUUUGCAUAAAUUAAUCUCCCUAAAGGGGGGCAGAAAAAGGCUAUGGUGUUGGUCAAGGAAUGGAAUCUCCAUGAUACUAACAGAGAAUGAAAGAUGUUGACUAGCUUACUUUUCCAAAAAUGAAGACCAGAUUAAGGGGACAUAAAAUAGCGUAUCAAAUAAGCCCACAAGAGGGAAGAACUAUCACAGCUGAAGGACAGCAUUGGUAGAAGAAAAAAAGUAGAACGUGCUGUGAGUGAAUUCUGGACGAGGGUGGUCCAGCUCUCACAAUGAAGGAGCUUCUGAAACAGUGUUGUUAUACAAAUAGUAAGGAUGACAGAUUUUAAACAGAGCUUGAUAAAUAAAUGAAUACUACAUGAUGUUGUUACCUAUUACAAAGAAGAACUGAACUUGACACAUGAGAUACCUGACUGUCUUAUGUUCCUGUCACUUUUCCCAAUUCCUCUUCAGCUAGAGUGCCAAGAAGACCGCAUGCAGAAAGUGUGCAGGAGUCUGGGGAGACAACCAUUCGCAUUGGUGCUCUCUCUCAAAGAGAGGCACGUGCGUGAGGUUCCACCAAGGUCACUCAGACCAGCCUGCAGCAAAGGCUUUCUUUCCUCAUGCCACUGUGCCUGCUUGAGUCAUGUCUGGUCACAGAGAGCACAGCAGCAUCUCAGACCCCACACUUGCUCAUCAGCCCCCAUUAGUCCUGGUGACAGCGAUACAGACUGGCAUUUUUGGAUGCGGGAUUUGGAUACUGCUUACUGAACGCUGCUGGCUGUUGGCAGUUAAUUUGCUUGCAUUUUAAUGGAUGAGCUGAACUAACUGUCACUUUGUAUGCUGUUCUCUUCUAGUUCUUACUAUCCUGUUUCUGAGAUGAAAUAAAACUAAUCUCAACUGAAGGCAUACAUUUAUCCACGUGACAGCACGUACACAUUUCCACAGCAUUUUCUGUUACAUCCUGUUGUUCCUUUAUGCUACUCUCGGCAGGGAUUAAGCUUUGUCUGAGCUAUCCAUAGCCCCAUCUAGAUAAUUCCUUCCUGCAAGGCCGAAACUAAGAGGAAAUCUAUCUGUGGGUAUUCUGCUGUUCUUUUACACGAAUAUCACAUUUCUAAUUGAUUUAAAAAAAUUCAAUUACAUUCCUGAUGCUGCUGUGAAGUUUCUGUUCAGGUCCGAUCAUUUUUUUAUGAAGCUGAGAAAGUACAUCAUAGCCAUUUGUUCCAAAAACAAAUAAAAAUAAAUAAAGAUGAAGCAGAAUCUGGUGUUUUUUGAUUUUCUGUAUAUAGACUGCUAUUACACAUAUUAUGUAAUAAUAACCGCAGAGCACUGUGUAUGUGUUACAAUUCACAGACCCAUCCAGUUAUUGCUUAUAUUCCAUGAAGUAGAAUACCAAGAAACACAAACAUACGAUGAACAUUUCCUCAACAGCCAUUUUAACACUCCAGUAUGUCCUAACCAACUAGAUAUUUUACAUCUUUUAAGCAUGAGAUUAAACGCGUCACCAAACCCAUCUGUAGGUUUAAUGGCCUCACUUAAAGUCUUAUGGAGAAUUAGAAUUCUUACGCAUCCAUCUCAGCACGACGUAAGAGCAUUACUG